CAGCCGCCGCGGUAAUACGGAGGGUGCAAGCGUUAAUCGGAAUUACUGGGCGUAAAGCGCACGCAGGCGGUCUGACAAGUCAGAUGUGAAAUCCCCGGGCUUAACCUGGGAACUGCAUUUGAAACUGUCAGGCUAGAGUCUUGUAGAGGGGGGUAGAAUUCCAGGUGUAGCGGUGAAAUGCGUAGAGAUCUGGAGGAAUACCGAUGGCGAAGGCAGCCAUCUGGCCUAAUACUGACGCUGAGGUACGAAAGCAUGGGGAGCAAACAGGAUUAGAUACCCGAGUAGUCCCUGUCUCUUAUAC
rnacentral:rRNA from 1 species